rnacentral:lncRNA from 1 species
AUUUCCGGCGAGCGGGACCCGGAAGUGGGGGGCUGCGGCGGGAGGUGAGGGCCGCCUGCCUGGCCGGACCCCAGGGGUGUCGGACGGUGGGCAGGGCCUCCUGGGAUCCCUGAGGCGCCGGCAGGAGGAGACGCCCUGGGGUCGGUGCCGCCACCUUCCCGUCCGGGCGGUUACAGCUUUCCCGCGUUCGCUGUCAGAGGCAGGGACCGGCGACCUCGGGGGCCUGGUCCCUGAGCCACAGCAGGGAGUCGUCCGAGCAUCUCGGGAUGAGGAAGAUCAAGUUGAAUCAAAAAAGAGGAAAGAAAGCCCAUCGCGUGUGACAGACAAGAAAGUGCUACCGUUAAAAGGCAAACAGUUCUAGAGUGUGCAAACAUUUGCAGUCCCUCUGCUGAUGAUCCUGGGUUUGGUUUGGCUGGGCUUGAGCAAAUGAGAAGGAACCAGGACGGAGCCUGUGACUGACUACAGCAGGAGAGCAGGCGUGGCAUGGAUCCCGUGCAAGCCGGCAGUGGAGACCCAGCGCCUGAGAGUGACGUGGGGAACUAGCAGGAGCUAGAAGUGACUUAGGCCGAGCUUUUGUAAAGCGGAGGUGUGAGUGUAAUAUCAGGAUGAUUUGACUGCAAGCAACAGAGAAUCAAACAGAAAUGGCCUAGGGAGUCCCUUCGUGGCUCCCCAGUUAACAAUCUGACUGGAUCAUGAGGAUGCAGGUUCAAUCCCCGGCCUCUAUCAGUGGGCGAAGGAUCUAGUGCUACCAUGAGCUGUGCUGUGGUGUAGGCUGGCGGCCGCAGCUCCAGUUGGACCCCUAGCCCGGGAACUUCCAUAUGCUGUGGGUGCAGCCCUAAAAAGCAAAAACAAACAAAAAAAAUGAAACAAAACAAAACAAAAAAUCCACAAAAAAAAUCAGAAAUGGCCUAAACAAAGAAGAAAACAUGUUAUCCCAUACUACAAGAAGUUUGGGGGUUGAGUGGUUAAACGCAUGAUUAGUUUAGAAACUUGACAGCACCACCCAGGACCCAUUUUCCCUAAGGCGCUGCUGCCCCCCACCCUGUAGGCUUAGCCACCGCAGCAAAGACACCCCCCUUCCCCAACCAGAGCCCUGCGUCAGGACUGGAAAGGGCCUCCUUCCUUCCAUCCCCUUCCAGAACCUCCGCAGAAGACUCCCCUUGACGUCUCAUUCCAUCCCAUACUGGUCACUUGGCAGGGGGAACGGAUUUACCACGGUGGCCAGAGACAAAUUAAGUCGCCUCUGGAUCAUGAAGAGCCCCCAUCUCUGGAGAACACUUGACCACUCAGUACCCAGCAACUCGGGUACCCCUGGCAAGAAAGAGACAGGUGAUACCCACUGGGUCCUGUCCACAGCGCCUGCCCCCAGCAACCUGUCUACCUGGAAAACUGAGGGGGUGCCACGCGGGUCUGUGUCUUCUCUGUAGUUUGCCCGAGUCUUUCCCAUUAGGUAAGGGCAGAAGACAUGGCCCUUGGGCUGCCUGAGAUGCACUGUUUCAUAGGAGGCCCCGUCACUGAAGCUGGGACUACCUCUGCCACCAAAGGCUCCCCAUCGAAAACUGAAUUAGAAAUUAUCUUGACCCCCCAUGGACAUCAAAGAAAAAUUCCCGAUGGAAACUGCGUGCUGAGUAAAGGAAAAAAAUGGCUCUUAUCCUAGACACUUGAUCCCCACUGACCUUCAGCGGCCCACCUGCUUCUCAGUCUUUGUUUCUGUCUCCAUGUCCUCUAAGGGCCUAACCCUCUCUCUCCAUGCUCAGUGCUGUUCUUGGGAUGCAACCAAUUCCUUCACUGAUGAGAUGAAAAACUGAAGGCGUGUCUGUAACACUUCUUUUCCCAGACACCCCACACCCAGUCUCCACUCUGGAUUUUGCCACAUCCCCACUCUCCUUCCAAACGAUAACACCUGUUCUUUCCCCGAUCGAACCCUGCGGGCCCCUCUUUCCUUCCGUCUCUGUCAAGGCGGGAGGAGCAGGGCCUUUUCCUUGGAAGCCCUCCGCUGUCUGUUCCCUCUGGAAGGACUAGGAGCCUCCAUCCUGGUCCGCGUGUAGCUGUCUCUAGGGAUGAAAAUGGUUUUCAGAGUCAGAGGCAUGUUUGAGUCUCUGCUAUUCUGUAGGCACGUUGCCUACAUUCUCUUAACCCAUUUGGCGGGUGUGGAAAUGAAAGCCUGGAGAGAUUAAGUGAUUUACCACUGGUUCCAUAAAUGACAGGGCUGGGGUCUGUCUGGCCCCAGGGAUCCCAGUCUAAACCUGCCUGAAUCCCUUAAUUUGAUUCUUAAUCUCUUAAUCCUUAAUCAUGCCUUCUUCAGGAUAGCCAGAUAAGAGACGCAAGAUAGUUGUGUCUCUUACUCAGGCAUCCACCCCGCUCUGUGUGUAUUUUUAUUUUAGCGUGAGCCGCAGUGUACUGAAAUUAAUAUCUCCCAAUCAGAUCGCUAUGCCUCUGGGGCCCAGGGCAGUGCCUGGUGUACAGACUGAUGCAGUAUUUCUUCUGCGGCUGUUUAUUUGCCCAUCGUGGCUACUCAGGCCCUUCCUUAGUCCCACUGAUGGAGAAACUGGGAUGGAAACUAGUCAGUGCAGUACUGGACAAGCAAAGGUAGCAUCGGGUUGGGAUUUGGGGGCAGUUAGGCAGUUACAGACUGUUUAGACCCUAAAAUCUGCCUGAUUGAUCCUAGUCUGAGACACUAGGUCUCGUUUGAAUCUCCAAGCCUAGGGAAGCACCUUAUCUCCAUAAACAUAGCCCUAGAACACCAGUUCACAAAUGGAUUGAAAGGUAGGUGCCCCGGACUGAAUGUUUCCUGUGCCCACCUCCCCAAGUUCUUAUGCUGAAUUCCUACGGCCCAAUGUGAUGACAUUAGUAUGUGUGGCCUCUGGAGGUGCUGAGGUCGCGAGGGUGCAGCCCAUGUGAAUGGGGUUAGUGCCUUUUCAGGAGACCCCAUAGACCUUAUCGAGAGACUCCCUUGCCUCUUCCACCUAGUGAACUCCGGGGGGGGGGUGCGGAGAGACACACACUGUGAACCAGGAAGAGGGCCCUCACCCGCCCGUACCCACGCCUUGAUCUUGGACCCCUCUGGAACCGUGAGAAAGAAAUGCCUGUGGUUAGUAAGCUGCCCGGUCAGCGGCAUUUCGUCACAGCAGCCGGAAUCGACAGUCAGCAAGAAUGCAGUUUAAUCUUUGUCCGCCUCAAUGUGAUAAAUUUAGAAGCUGACUUUUGUUUGUUUUGAAACAUGUAAAGUAAAGCUUGGGACAUUACUGAAUCCAGAUUAAGUAGAAAAUCAAAAUACAUUCUGCCAAAAUCCCAACUCCACUAGAACCUUUUUCUCAAAUCCAUAGAGGUACAUGUUUAUGGAAAUGGUUAAUAAGUGCUUAUGAUGAAAAUGCCACAUCCUAUCUCAGUCCUACUACUUGCUUUCAAUCCUCUUAUUAUUUGUUCUGGUAUAUGUUUCUAAAUAUAUCAUUAUCCUGC